rnacentral:rRNA from 1 species
UACGUAGGGUGCGAGCGUUAAUCGGAAUUACUGGGCGUAAAGCGUGCGCAGGCGGUUCGCCAAGUCGGGUGUGAAAGCCCCGGGCUCAACCUGGGAAUUGCAUUCGAGACUGCAUUGCUGGAGUACGGAAGAGGAAGGCGGAAUUCCCGGUGUAGCGGUGAAAUGCGUAGAUAUCGGGAGGAACAUCAGUGGCGAAGGCGGCCUUCUGGUCCAGUACUGACACUCAAGUGCGAAAGCGUGGGGAGCAAACAGG